rnacentral:lncRNA from 1 species
UUGGGGAUCGUGUACACAGUGUUUACUAUAUUUUAACAAUUACUAGUGAAAAUAGAGUAUUAACAGUAAAUAUAUAUAGGUGCGUAUGAUAAAGAUAUUUCAGACCAUUCAUCCAUCCAGCCUAAACACAAACGACGGGAAGUCGGUCGAUUCGACCACGAACUAAUAUCCCUAAUGAUGAUUCGACCGUUUGACGAUUCUAUCACCUAGGACAGUGGUUCUCAAAGUGUGGUCCGCUGAUAUAAGUCAGGUGGUCCGCGGCUAUGGAGGUGUUAAUACAUGUAUUACCACACAAUAUGUUCUUGCUCACACGAGGGACAGGGAGGCACCAACUAAACUGUUGAUGCAGUACUGGGAUCACCCAGGACAACGACAUACCCAGGCACUGAUAUCGUUAAGUUGAAGAUAAUUGGACAAAAGUGAACAACGGCCUUGAGCCAUUUCACCAAAACAGGGACACAUAUCCCUGGUGAAACGAGAGCUGUCUUUCUUGCACGCAUGCGAGGCGAGUGGGCUCGCUUGCGAGAGGAUGAAAAACAAAAAUUCAAAAAGGAUGCAAUAUCCUGCAGAGGGCAACUUCCUCAAGAUGAAGGACAAAAAAACUGCAUACCUGAGGAGGGUGUGCUCUGAAUUGAAUCAGCUGACUGACUUCAUGAAGCAGCUUGGCUGGUCGUCUUUUUAUAAGAUAACGACCAAGAGCAACGCUUAGCCUCUUGUGAAGUUCUCUGCUGUUAGUCUCAACAACCUAAACAAUAAAUGUGACUAAACCGGAAGCUUUGUACACACCGCCUUGUUUUAGUAGUUAACUGGGGAAAAAAUCAUCUGCCAGCAGUCCAAUAAUAUAAGUUUGUGCUUCUGCAGAUAUGCACACCAGAACAUGAUCAGCAAACUUUCACAUUGCUAGCCCCCUGUGGAGCAAAUUUGUGGGCCUAUGGAGCCUGAACUGAAAUUAAAAGUUUAUUAAGUUAUAUUUUUAAUCGACAGAAUUCUUAUUGAGCAGUUUCCCUAUAACUUGUGAUCAGAAUCAUGCAUUUUCACUUAACUGCUACAAUUUGUUGAUACAAAAAAUAAUUAUAGCACCAUGAAAUGGAUUUGAUGCUGUUUCUUCAUAAGAAAAAUUUCCUAUCAAUUUUGCAUAUUCCACUAUUUUGUAUGUAAUGGUGUUUACACUGAAACAAAAUAGGUUGGGAUGGAGAGAAAGAACAAUAAUUUACUUUACAAGAUAGCAUGAAAAAAAAGAACACUAGUGCUUUAUAAAGAUGAUCAGAUCUGUAAAGAUAAAAGAUUUCACAGCCUAUUGACUUUAGAAGCAUUGAUCUGACUAAGAAACCUCUCUGCCUGCUUUAAAGACUAAACCAAAAACUGAGUGAAAAAUUCUGGUCCUUUUAUGAGAUGCAAGCCUUUGAGCAUUGGAAUCUUCAGCCCCUUACAGGCUGCUAUACCCUCGGCCUGGCAGGAUCUGCAUGUCCUCUUGUGGGUUUUCAGAGAGCUGUCCGUCGUUUUCCCACCUCAGUCACCUGGGUCUGUACACAUUUAGCCCUAACAUAAUACUUCAAAACAUCUCACAGCUCUCCAAAGCCCUGCAUAAAACCCUCAUCAAACCUGCAGAAGCCUCGCUCAAAACCUUCUAAUCAAACCUUCACCUUCUCCCAAGCUUUCACUCUUUUACCACCUAUUGAACAAAGGUGGCACACCAGAAAACAAUCUUACAUCUUCCAUAUGUUUAAUUGUAGGUGCUAUUAUCAUUCCUCUUAUGCUUGGUAAUUACCAGUAGACAAAAGAUAUUCAUACAGUUGGUUGUAACUUUGACAUUAACUUGUCAGUCUACAUUCCUGGGGCCUGAUUGUAAAGCAGGACAAUUGCCAGAGUCUGGGACUAUACAAAAUGUGCCACCAAAAACCAUGAUAUGUAUAUAUAAAGCAGGAUACACCACAUUUUUCCUGUUGCUAAAGUCCAAGAAUACAGAAAACAUAAAGCAACUAUUUUAUGCCAUAUGAUUUUUCAUUGGUGACAUGGCACUUGCCCUGUUCAUGUGUACAAGACAGAAGCUUUGUGGUAUGUUUUUUUCCUACACAUUUUGGGGGACCUGUUUUGAUUCAAAUUAGCAUUGCAGUUUGAGCAUUGACUUUAAUCACCUGCUCUUUUUCAGGUUCUGUAACAGUCAAAUACUGAGAGUGAGCCUAUACACCCUGAAAUGGGCUUGAUUAAAAUUUUUCUCAAAUAUUUAAAUUAAAUGAUGGAUUGUAUUAGUAUUCAUACAUAGGUGAUAACACAAGUAAGCAAGGCUUCUGUUUUCUCAGAUGACACAAACAGGAAGAGAUCACUCAGUUAAAAGUGUACAAACUGAUACAAGUUUUAAUAUUCAUUUAGUAUAUACAAUUGUUUUAUAAGUUUCUUUUAUAAACAUAAUCUAAGCAUCAUGUACAUCAGGUUUCAAAUGCAGAAAUAUUCACAUACUUGAAAAAUUCAUCAACUUGCUGUUGAUUGUACAGGACUGCUUAGAUUUAGAUACUGAACCUAACCUUUCUAAUAUUUCUUUGAGAAGGUUUUUUUUAAAGUAAUUCAAGAACAGGUUUUUUCAGUAAUUCAAAUCUCGUGUAACUCAUUUAUUUGACCUACCAAUUUUUGUUUUUUAGAUUCUGUUUUAAUGCUAGCAUACUGAGAUAUCUGUGGAUGAUGACAAAUGUGUUGACCUGUUCAUAUUGAUAAAAAUAAAUUGUAUAAAAAUGUCAAGCAUAUAAUUAUUUAAAAGAAAACCACACAUCUUUUUCUGUUAACAUUAUUGCACACUACGUUUGAAUAAAAUGAAUUGGUGAUUUUGUUCUUCAUUUUUCUUGUCUAGUUGAUCUUGAUUACUUACACUCAAAAAA